rnacentral:lncRNA from 1 species
GUGCGUGUUCAAGAAGGAUCAGGAGACUCCCAUGGAGCCUCAAAACCCUAAAUCGCCUUUAAGCUCAAAUUGGAAGGAAAGAUGAAGCUGAAAUCCAUAACCGAGCAUGGAUUAAUGAUCACCAACACGAGGGGAUCAUAAGGUAUGUCUUAAAUCUAAGUUUGGUGAUCAUGGGUGAAGUGGAUAGCAUGUCUACGGGCUCAAGCACGGAGGCUAAUGGGUCAAAAGAAAGCAUGGAACCUAUGCUUGAACUUGGACGCUCAAGGUAAGUGACUUCCGACUCACUUCUUAGUAUGCUUAUUGAUUUCAUGUUCAUGAGUGUGGGAAAUUAUGUAAGAUAAUGAAAUGAUGAAAGUUUUAAGAUAAGUAUUGAUCUAGUUUAGACGAGGGGAGUUAUCUAAGUCGAAGGUAAUUUGAUGGGAUUAAACGGGUCAAUUAAGCUUUGAGCGAAAGUGUGUUAAAAGGAUGCGAGACAUCUAAGAAUUUGAUCCUUUAUGAUAAAUGACGUUGAAAUUAUAAGGUUCAUGAGGAAUCAAGGUCAAAUAAUCAGCUUAUGUUGAUAAAAGCAUGAACGGGUCAAAACUUGGUAAAAAGGUAAUAAGUCGAUAGCUUAAAAGAUUAGAAUUUUGAUAAUCCGGAUGUCGAAUGUUAAUUCCAUGGGAUGGGGAAUUUAAUUACGGUCGCGUAGGAAAAAGAAUCGAGUAAAACGGACGCAAAACGAGCAAGUUAUGCGAGUUUUAGCAAUUAUGAAUGAUAGCUGAUCUGGUGCCACCGUAACUUACGGUAGCCACCGUAAGUUACGGUAGGCUCUGAAGCUUUUGUUUCACCGUAAGACAGUAGGUUGUCACCGUAAGGAAUUGGUGGUGCACGGUCGUGCGCUUGGCCGCACGGUCGUGCGUAUCCGAGUAAAUCAGUGCACGGGCUUGUGCACUACCAGUGCCCCCGACGUCGUAGGUACUGCACGGUCGUGCGGUUGGACGCACGGCCAUGCGUCAGCUGCAAAUUCAUUAAAAUGUGCAGAAUUCGUCCAAAUCAGUCCCGUAACCCAUAGGGUGUCCCAAAAUGUAAUCUAACUCAUUGUAAAGUGUUCAUGAGUUGCAAUGAGCGUGUGCGCAAGCAUGAAAUGGAGCAAGAUAAGUAUAGAGGCAUAUGUAAGUUUAUGGAGAUACGGAUGUGAUUAGACAUGUAUGAGUUAGGUAUGCUACUAGCAGGAAUGUAUAUUUGUAUAUAUGUAUAAUGUCGGAAGUGUACGCAAUGAUGUAGGUAUGGGUGUAUGUAGAUACGCAUGAAGUGACGUAGAUGUGUUUAUAUAAGAGUAUGAAUGUAUGUAUGUAAUUGGUUAUGUGUGAUACGACAGUAAUUCGGGGAGAAUUAGGUAAGUGAUAUGUUCGAGUUAGUAUGUAUGUAUGAAUGUAUUUAUGUAAUUAUGUAAGUAUAUGUACGUGUGAGCGAAGGUAUGCACGUGUGUAAUUAUGAUUCGUUUUAUGAAUGCAUGUAAGUAUAUAAUUAUGUAUGCAAGAUCGGUAUAUAUGUAGGUAUCGGUAUAUGUAGGAACGCAAGUAGCUAUGUACGGGCGUAAGCAUUAUGUAUUUAGGUACGAAGGUACAUACGCGUAUAGGUACGAAUGUAUAUACGUGGAUGCAAGUAUGUAUGUAUGUAUGUGAGUAGGUAUGUUUGUAUGUAGAUAUGUAUGUAAUGAUGUACAUGAGUAUAUAUGUGGGUAUGAACGUAUGUACGUAGAUGGUCAUGUGUGAACAUAUAAAUAUGUAUGAAGGUAGGUACGCAAGUAUCCAAUGAAAUUGAGUACUAACGUUAAUAUUAGCGUGCAUGGUGAAGGAAGUGUAACGCAGGAAUAACAAAGAAGUCUCACCACGGAAUGUAUGAUCAGAUGGAAAGCUGGGAUGUAAAGAGUUAAUGGAUCAAUAAGUAAACGAGAAUAAAUCGUGUAUGUUUAUAAUGCGUACUAACGUUAUGAAUUUUAUGUGGUGAGCGCAGGUAACACAAGUCAUGAGGAUCAUUGAGGAAUAGAGAUCGAGGAUCGAGUCACUGAAGGAUUGUACGGGGUGUAUAAGAAUGUAAUUUGUUAUAUAUAAGUUAUGUUUUAUUCUAUAAUUGAGUUAGAUUGAUGUAUUCAAUAUAGAGGUGUUAUUUUAAAAGUGAACUUUCAAGUAAGAUAUAAGGUUUAUAAUGUAAGAAAGGAAUUCAUAAUGAACUUGCUAGUAGGUCAAAACGUUUUAAUGAAAGAAAUUUUUAUGGUACAAAUUUCCGCUGCGUCUUUUCAGUUAACGCGUGUUAGGGUGUUACAAGUUGGUAUCAGAGCCCUGGUUUGAGAGAAUCAAGUAACGGGAGGUAAAUACUUGAACUCAAACCGGUGUGCUCUCGUGACCAAGAGCCCGUACAAUCCAAGACUCGAUUGAAGCCUAAAGGCAAAAGCGAAUGUAAGUAAGUAUUUGAUUACGUAAUUGAAGGAUACUAAUAGUAUGUUAUGUGAAGGGUAAGCGCAAAUGUUGAGAGAGAUGAACUGUGAAUGCGGUCUGGGACCGGCAUCAAGGCAAGUAAUGAGGCGAGUUGACCCCAGGUACGUAAAUCUAACGUGUGGGCGUAUGAAAUGGUACAGUUAACCAAGUGAAAGAAAAAUGUUAAACAAAUUAUAAUAACGACAUGGUAAAUAGGUUUUGAAAAUGUCACACAUCCCGAAACUAAAUCCUUCGGACAUAAGGUGGCGAUUACGCGAAGACACGAAACUAGUACGUGGAAGGUGUACCUGGCCAGUACACAAGAAACGUAUGACGUUCGUGAGACCGCGAUAAUUGUUACAGGUAUGUCCGAUAGAAUUUGGUAGCGGCUAGGCGUGUGGGUGAAAUGGGUAGUAAGACUCUCGGAAGGUUGAGAGUACUAUGUAAGGGUGAAAGGUAUAAGUGAUAAGAAUGAAAUAUGGAGUCCAUAAGAAAGUAUGGAUUGAUAAUUUAUGAAUGCAAUGCUCGAAUCCACGAAACGGAUUCAAGGAAUGAAAGAUACGGAUGAUGCAAAUCCCUUGCGGAUUUGGUUAUGCUAAAGAAGAUUAUGAUAAGCUAUACAAGUCGACCGGUUCAAGUUGAACAAGUCGAGUAAGGAUAAGGUACCAUCCGUUUAGAACGGGUGGUCGUGAAUGCAAUAAUAAAUGUAUGAAGCUCAACCCGUUAUACGGGUAGAACGAAAGACUUAUGUUGAAAGCAAUUAACCCGAUGUUACCGGGUCGUAAGUGGUAUGCUUGGAUCUCAUUAGAAGGCAUGAAUGAAUGUUUGAAUCCGUAAGGCGGAUUCAAUGAAUGAAGAAGCAUGAAUGAUGCGCCUGAAUCCGUGAGAU